rnacentral:misc_RNA from 1 species
AAGUCGUAACAAGGUUUCCGUAGGUGAACCUGCGGAAGGAUCAUUAAAGGUUUCGGGUACCCAGUGCCCAAACUUCAACCCUAUGUUUUAACUAAAUCAGUUUCUUUGCCGGUUUCGGCCGGCAGAAGUUUUCUCAAACUCCACUAUAAAUGUGUCUUCUGAAUCAAAACUAAAUAAAUUAAAACUUUCAACAACGGAUCUCUUGGUUCUG